UUAGAUUGUGCUGUUUGUGAUUAUUUCAUUCUAUAUUAUUGUUAGUUAACUGGUUUUAAUUUUGUUCCUGGGGUUUGAGUUUCUUCUCCAAACUCCCCAGUUGCCUUCACUGCCUCUCUCUUGGUCUAGAGAUUCCGUCUCCACAGGUUUUUUGUUACUGUUUUAUUUUAAUAUACAAGAUUGAAGUGAAUGUACUAUAAUUGCUUGAGGUGUGUGAUAUAUUUGAUUAAUGUGAAUGAAGAAUACUAGGUUUAAUUGAAUUAAAUUGAAUCAUGGAUAAGAGCAUGUUAGCUGGUUUGGAAUCACUUCCAGAAGCUGAUCAGCAAAGAAUGGUCUCCAUGAUGUAACAGGUUCAAAUCCAUGACAGUGAAAGACUUUCCAGGAAUUAAGAUUGCAGAGGAGUCGGAAUGGAAAAAUAGCAUUCAGGGCUCAACAGGGGUGGUUAACUUGGCUGGAAUGCCCAUAAGUACCAGAUGGUCUUCGGAGCUAAAAUGAUACCUCUAUUCAAGAUGUUUGCUGGUGGACCUAUAGGCUCUGGAAAACAAUGGUUUUCCUGGAUUCAUUUGGAUGACAUUGUUAAUUUAAUAUAUGAAGCACUGAUAAAUCUCUCCUAUGAAGGAUAAUGUUGAGGAUGAUAAUGAAGAUUUAGCUGAUUAUUAUUGUGAUUUAUUGGCUAUAAGAUAGAGUAGUGUUGGAAAUGGAUACAUAUAUGGUUGACUACUAAUGACUUUUAUUAGAAGAUACUUAUGUAGGAUAUGUUUCUCGUAGAGUAUUAGUAGUAAAUUCUAAGUGGUAUCAUGGUUAUUUUG